CCCCAAAUGUAGACAAAG
rnacentral:snRNA from 1 species